AUGGGCGCCACCCCCAGCCACUCGUCGCCGGCGGACGAGAUGCCGCUCCACGUGAGCAUCUCCGGCUACUCCAACCUGAUGCGGGUGCCUCUGCCUCGCCCGGAGACUGUCCGCAUAUUCUCCUUCGGUGAUAUCUUGUGGGAGGUCACAGUGAAACCGACGGGGUUCAACGAAGGCCUAGCGGACGGCCUCCACGUCUCGGUCGACCUCCACUCCCGAUUCAGGUACAAACCAGACGUGGUGCUCGAAGGCAUCGACAUCUCCAUGGAAGUCCUUGACGAGGCCGGCGAGAACACCGUCUUCCACCGGGAGAGCAGCGGGAUGCUGGAAUCCUCGAGGUUCUUGAAUCUCUUCCUGUCCAGGAGGGAGCUGGAGGCAUCGUCGUGCGUCCGCGACGACAGCUUCACCGUCAGGUGCACUCUGACGAAGCAGCGGUCUACAAAGUGGUGGCGCCUCUUCUCCAAAUCUGACGAGCUCGCGGUCUUGGAGCCGCAGGUCGCCAUGGCCGGAUCCAACAUGAUCACCAUCGGCAGCUUCUCCAAGCUCAAGGCCGCGCUCCGGGGAGGGGAGUGCACCUACUCCACCCACUUCGCUGUGGCAGGGUGCAGAUGGUACUUCCAAUUCUGUCCCAAUGGCAAUGGGCUAAUUGGCCUUGUACGCGUGAGUAAUGGCACGACGCCGACAACGGCGGAGUUCAGUUUUGAGCUCGAGGGGGUGGUCAAUUUUGAGUCCGAAAAGAUGACUCACACGUUCAACCAUGCCAACAAAAUGUACUUAUAUAGAUGCAGGCUGGAGCCAAGCACGUCGGCCAUGGAGGAUCGCCUCAUUGUUCGGUGCCGCCUCGCCGUUAUAAUGGCGGAAAAGCUGAGCAUACCCUCUGCCGCCAUUACGGUGGAGAAGAUUCCUCGAAAAAUAUUGGUGGAGAAGCCAAGCUUGCCCCCCGACGCGAUUCGGAUCGCUACCACCCCGUGCACCGAAUCAAUGCUAACUCCUCUACUGAGCGCCAUGUAUGAUUGA
rnacentral:rRNA from 1 species